rnacentral:rRNA from 1 species
UACAGAGGUCCCAAGCGUUGUUCGGAUUCACUGGGCGUAAAGGGUGCGUAGGUGGUUAGGUAAGUCCGAUGUGAAAUCUCCAGGCUCAACCUGGAAAUGGCAUUGGAUACUAUCUAGCUUGAGGAGUGGAGGGGAGACUGGAAUUCCUGGUGUAGCGGUGAAAUGCGUAGAUAUGCGGAGGAACACCGAUGGCGAAGGCAAUCCCCUGGACCUGUACUGACGCUCAUGCACGAAAGCGUGGGGAGCAAACAGG